GAGCAAGUCACAGGUCUGGAACCUCCACAGCUCCUGCAGUGUUUGGGGAGGAACCAAAGCAGAGCUGAAUGAGGUGAACUCAAGUCCCUGCUGUUCUUUUGGUUUGUCUCUGCCUGAGUUAAGGCACCCAACUGAAUGUAUGAACUACGUCCGGAAUAAAGGACUGAGAACGUUUUAUUCGCCUCUGAUGGGUUGCAGGUGCAUAUGUAGAGUUUUGAGAGAAAAGAGACUGACUCAACAAAGGUCAAAUUGGAAAGGUCGAGUCUUCAGCAUCAGGUGAGAGGAAGAGGUGACCCAGGAGGAGGCCCAGGGAAGCAGACCAGGGCGUCUGCAUUGGCCACAGACGGUCCACAUGCAGAUAAUGGAGAGCUUACCCUGUGCCUUUUGACUACGG
rnacentral:lncRNA from 1 species